UUGCGGCCAUAUCACAUUGAAGCAGCCGUUCUCGUCAGAUCACUGAUGUUAAGCAACGCUGAGCCGGGUUAGUUGUUGAAUGGGAGACCGAUGGGGAACACCAGUU